rnacentral:rRNA from 1 species
CCUACGGGCGGCAGCAGUGGGGAAUAUUGGACAAUGGGCGAAAGCCUGAUCCAGCCAUGCCGCGUGUGUGAAGAAGGCCUUCGGGUUGUAAAGCACUUUCAGUGGGGAAGAAAGCCUUGGGGCUAAUACCCUCGAGGAAGGACAUCACCCACAGAAGAAGCACCGGCUAACUCCGUGCCAGCAGCCGCGGUAAUACGGAGGGUGCGAGCGUUAAUCGGAAUUACUGGGCGUAAAGCGCGCGUAGGCGGUCUGAUAAGCCGGUUGUGAAAGCCCCGGGCUCAACCUGGGAACGGCAUCCGGAACUGUCAGGCUAGAGUGCAGGAGAGGAAGGUAGAAUUCCCGGUGUAGCGGUGAAAUGCGUAGAGAUCGGGAGGAAUACCAGUGGCGAAGGCGGCCUUCUGGACUGACACUGACGCUGAGGUGCGAAAGCGUGGGUAGCAAACAGGAUUAGAUACCCGGGUAGU